GACGAACGCUGGCGGCGUGCUUAACACAUGCAAGUCGAACGGAAAGGCCCUGCUUUUGUGGGGUGCUCGAGUGGCGAACGGGUGAGUAACACGUGAGUAACCUGCCCUUGACUUUGGGAUAACUUCAGGAAACUGGUGCUAAUACCGGAUAGGAGCUCCUGCUGCAUGGUGGGGGUUGGAAAGUUUCGGCGGUUGGGGAUGGACUCGCGGCUUAUCAGCUUGUUGGUGGGGGAGUGGCUUACCAAGGCUUUGACGGGUAGCCGGCCUGAGAGGGUGACCGGCGACAUUGGGACUGAGAUACGGCCCAGACUCCUACGGGAGGCAGCAGUGGGGAAUAUUGCACAAUGGGCGGAAGCCUGAUGCAGCAACGCCGCGUGCGGGAUGACGGCCUUCGGGUUGUAAACCGCUUUCGCCUGUGACGAAGCGUGAGUGACGGUAAUGGGUAAAGAAGCACCGGCUAACUACGUG
rnacentral:rRNA from 1 species